CGAACGAACCAUAACAAAGUCUCUCUUGAAAUCCAGCAAAGCAACAACUUUAUUGUUUUUGUUACUUUGCUCCAGCGAUCUGAGCUCCAAACGUUAACCUUUGCUAUUUUAUUUAAAUUCACUCUAUUUCUUCUUUUCUUUGGGGCUAGAUUUGGAUUUCAAAAGAAAAUCCCAUGAAUUUUCACUUUGACAUCCGUCCCACAUCGUUAGUUUUACUCAAACCUAGGGUUUUAGGGUUCUAUAAAUAGAACCCCAUUUUCUUCAUUCACAAUAGGCUUUUGACAACAAAAUAAUAGGAUCUCACACCUAAAUAGGUUUUUCACAACCACAAAAAGUUUUCAACAUCGCAAGUUCUGAUCUUUUCAAUUUACUUGACUUUAAACAAGAAAUUUCUCUUAUAAGCCGAGUUCUUGAAUUAUCGGAAUCAGUUAAAUAUUUUUUCGACUCGUUCUGAGUUAGUUGUUGAGUCGGUGAAGUCGCAGAAAGGUGAUCCUCGACGCUUGUCGCCCCCGUCGCUGCAUCAACAAAAGAGUAUUAGACAGGUUCACACUUUCCCCUCGCGGCUGAUCGGCGAGGCGCAGUCAUUCCGGGGGUGAGCACGAUGACGGCCGCUGCCCGGAUGUUCUUUUCCUUACUUACUUGUCUUACUCUUAUUUCGAGACAAUUGUAUAUUGAGACUUUUUCAUCUUCAGACUUGUAGUAUUUAGUUAGUGCUCUUGUGUGACCAGAUCAUAUACUGGGGUGGUUUAUGAUUACUUCCGCAUUUAUUAUAUAUUCAAA